CAGCCGCCGCGGUAAUACGUAGGGUGCGAGCGUUAAUCGGAUUUACUGGGCGUAAAGCGUGCGCAGGCGGCCCGUUAAGACAGGUGUGAAAUCCCUGGGCUCAACCUAGGAAUUGCGCUUGUGACUGGCGGGCUCGAGUACGGUAGAGGGGGGUGGAAUUCCUGGUGUAGCAGUGAAAUGCGUAGAGAUCAGGAGGAACACUGAUGGCGAAGGCAGCCCCCUGGGCCUGUACUGACGCUCAUGCACGAAAGCGUGGGGAGCAAACAGGAUUAGAUACCCUGGUAGUCCACGCCCUAAACGAUGGGUACUAGCCGUUUGGUGCGCGAUAGCGCUGAGUGGCGAAGCUAACGCGUGAAGUACCCCGCCUGGGGAGUACGGCCGCAAGGUUGAAACUUAAAGGAAUUGGCGGG
rnacentral:rRNA from 1 species